AGCCUGAACGCUGGCGGCGUGGCUAAGACAUGCAAGUCGUACGGUGUAGCAAUACACAGUGGCGAACGGGAGAGUAAUGAAUCGCUAAUGUGCCCCGGACUCUGAGAUAGCCAUCCGAAAGGGUGGGUAAUAUCAGAUGACAUAUUUCUGUCGCAUGAUAGAGAUCUCAAAGGUCCGCCGGUCUGGGAGCAGGCGAUUUCGUAUCAGCUAGUUGGUGAGGUAACGGCUCACCAAGGCGACGACGCGUAGCCGGACUGAGAGGUUGGCCGGCCUCAUUGGGACUGAGACACUGCCCAGACUCCUACGGGGGGCUGCAGUAACGAAUCUUCCGCAAUGCACGAAAGUGUGACGGAGCGACGCCGCGUGUGGGACGAAGUCCUUCGGGAUGUAAACCACUGUCAGGGGUUACCAAGUUCUGAGGAGCCCCAGAGGAAGGGACGGCUAACUCUGUGCCGAGCAGCCGCGGU
rnacentral:rRNA from 1 species